UAUUUCUUUAGUAUACAAGUACAAAUGCCUUCCAAGCAUGGGGCCCCCACACGGGAAGAAAUAA
rnacentral:tRNA from 1 species